CCAAGAUUGACUUUACGGGCCAAUGAAGUCCUUUGGAAAAGCAUCCUGGUACCUUGCUAACAGGGUUCCCAGCACCUUACCACAAAUGUCUCUUAUUAAAUACCUGAUUGCUUGCACCAUAGGCCUAGGUUUGGGAGCCCCUCUGCAUCACUGCCUCCUAAAAUAAGAGGACGAUUCAGAGGAGGGAACUGUCAGACCCGAGGUAGGCCUCCCCUAAAUGUUUCUCAAUGGCAUAAUGAUUAUUUUGAAUUAAAGUUACUGAAGAAGCAGCCAACGUAAGGGACACUCUGACCCUCUUUUCUGUCUCCCUGAAAACAGGAAAUAAAUUUCUCACGUAAAAAGUGCA